GAUGAACGCUAGCGGCAGGCCUAAUACAUGCAAGCCGGACGGCAAGUUGAGUAGCAAUACUUGACCUAGAGUGGCGUAAGGGUGCGUAACACGUAUGCAAUCUGCCCACAGCCGGGAGAUAGCCCUCCGAAAGGAGGAUUAAUAUCCCAUAGGAAGAUGAGAUGGCAUCAUUUUAUUUUUAAACUACGGGGCUGUGGAUGAGCAUGCGGUUGAUUAGCUAGUUGCGGGUAAAGGCCCACCAAGGCGAUGAUCAAUAGGGGACCUGAGAGGGUGAUCCCCACACUGGCACUGAGAUACGGGCCAGACUCCUACGGGAGGCAGCAGUAGGGAAUAUUGGACAAUGGGUGUAAGCCUGAUCCAG
rnacentral:rRNA from 1 species